rnacentral:rRNA from 1 species
GAUGAACGCUGGCGGCGUGCCUAAUACAUGCAAGUCGAGCGAACAGAUGAGGAGCUUGCUCCUCUGACGUUAGCGGCGGACGGGUGAGUAACACGUGGAUAACCUACCUAUAAGACUGGGAUAACUUCGGGAAACCGGAGCUAAUACCGGAUAAUAUAUUGAACCGCAUGGUUCAAUAGUGAAAGACGGUUUUGCUGUCACUUAUGGAUGGAUCCGCGCCGCAUUAGCUAGUUGGUAAGGUAACGGCUUACCAAGGCAACGAUGCGUAGCCGACCUGAGAGGGUGAUCGGCCACACUGGAACUGAGACACGGUCCAGACUCCUACGGGAGGCAGCAGUAGGGAAUCUUCCGCAAUGGGCGAAAGCCUGACGGAGCAACGCCGCGUGAGUGAUGAAGGUCUUCGGAUCGUAAAACUCUGUUAUUAGGGAAGAACAAAUGUGUAAGUAACUAUGCACGUCUUGACGGUACCUAAUCAGAAAGCCACGGCUAACUACGUGC